UACGUAGGGGGCUAGCGUUGUCCGGAAUCAUUGGGCGUAAAGCGCGUGUAGGCGGUCCGGUAAGUCCGCUGUGAAAGUCGGGGGCUCAACCCUCGGAUGCCGGUGGAUACUGUCGAGCUAGAGUCCGGAAGAGGCGAGUGGAAUUCCUGGUGUAGCGGUGAAAUGCGCAGAUAUCAGGAGGAACACCAAUGGCGAAGGCAGCUCGCUGGGACGGUACUGACGCUGAGACGCGAAAGCGUGGGGAGCAAACAGG
rnacentral:rRNA from 1 species